UGGGGAAUAUUGCACAAUGGGGGAAACCCUGAUGCAGCGACGCAGCGUGAACGAAGAAGGUAUUCGUAUCGUAAAGUUCUGUCCUAUGGGAAGAUAAUGACAGUACCAUAGAAGAAAGCUCCGGCUAAAUACGUGCCAGCAGCCGCGGUAAUACGUAUGGAGCGAGCGUUGUCCGGAAUUAUUGGGCGUAAAGGGUACGCAGGCGGUUUAAUAAGUCGAAUGUUAAAGAUCGGGGCUCAACCCCGCAAAGCAUUGGAAACUGAUAAACUUGAGUAGUGGAGAGGAAAGUGGAAUUCCUAGUGUAGUGGUGAAAUACGUAGAUAUUAGGAGGAAUACCAGUAGCGAAGGCGACUUUCUGGACACAAACUGACGCUGAGGUACGAAAGCGUGGGGAGCAAACAGG
rnacentral:rRNA from 1 species